rnacentral:rRNA from 1 species
AGAGUUUGAUCCUGGCUCAGGACGAACGCUGGCGGCGUGCCUAACACAUGCAAGUCGAACGGAGUUACUUAGGACGGAGGAUUCGUCCAAAGACCUUUGUAACUUAGUGGCGAACGGGUGAGUAACGCGUGAGCAAUCUGCCUCGGAGUGGGGGACAACAGUUGGAAACGACUGCUAAUACCGCAUAAUGUGUCGGGAGGGCAUCCUUCUGAUACCAAAGCUUUAUGUGCUCUGAGAUGAGCUCGCGUCUGAUUAGAUAGUUGGUGGGGUAACGGCCUACCAAGUCGACGAUCAGUAGCCGGACUGAGAGGUUGAACGGCCACAUUGAGACUGAGAUACGGCCCAGACUCCUACGGGAGGCAGCAGUGGGGAAUAUUGGGCAAUGGGGGAAACCCUGACCCAGCAACGCCGCGUGAAGGAAGAAGGCCCUCGGGUUGUAAACUUCUUUUACCAGGGACGAAGGAAGUGACGGUACCUGGAGAAAAAGCCACGGCUAACUACGUGCCAGCAGCCGCGGUAAUACGUAGGUGGCAAGCGUUGUCCGGAUUUACUGGGUGUAAAGGGCGUGUAGGCGGGACUGCAAGUCUGAUGUGUAAUCUGGUGGCUCAACCACCAAACUGCAUUGGAAACUGUAGUUCUUGAGUAUCGGAGAGGCAGGCGGAAUUCCUAGUGUAGCGGUGAAAUGCGUAGAUAUUAGGAAGAACACCAGUGGCGAAGGCGGCCUGCUGGACGACAACUGACGCUGAGGCGCGAAAGCGUGGGGAGCAAACAGGAUUAGAUACCCUGGUAGUCCACGCCGUAAACGAUGAUAACUAGGGUGUGGGGGGGACUGACCCCCUCCCGUGCCGCAGUUAACACAAUAAGUAUUCCACCUGGGGGAGUACGACCCCCAAGGUUGAAACUCAAAAGAAAUUGACGGGGGGCCCCCCAAACAGUGGGAUUAUUGUGGGUUUAAUUCCGAAGCAACCCGCGAGAAACCUUUCCCGGGGUUUGGCAUUCCUCCUAACCAAACCAAAAAGCCUUUAAGUGGCCCUUCCGGGGAAAGAAAAAAACAAGGGGGGGCCUGGGUUGUCGCCCACCUCCCGGCCCUGGAAAAAUUUGUGGUUUAAUUCCCCCCACCAAAGGGAACCCCCCUAUUGGGUAGUGGGCUCCCCCAGAGACACUCUUUCGAGAAAUGCCCGUGGAUAAAACAGGGGAAGAGGGUGGGGGACAAACUCCAAAUUUUCUAUGGCCUCUUAUGUCCCCGGCCUCACCACGUAAAACAAUUGGCCCUUUACCAAAGGAGGGGGGAACCCCCCGAGUUGAGCGAUCCCCAAAAAGUGUCUCAGUUCGGAUUGCAGGCUGCAACUCGCCUGCAUGAAGUCGGAAUUGCUAGUAAUCGUGGAUCAGCAUGCCACGGUGAAUACGUUCCCGGGCCUUGCACACACCGCCCGUC